GAUGAACGCUGGCGGCGUGCCUAAUACAUGCAAGUCGAGCGAACAGAUAAGGAGCUUGCUCCUUUGACGUUAGCGGCGGACGGGUGAGUAACACGUGGGUAACCUACCUAUAAGACUGGGAUAACUUCGGGAAACCGGAGCUAAUACCGGAUAACAUUUGGAACCGCAUGGUUCUAAAGUGAAAGAUGGUUUUGCUAUCACUUAUAGAUGGACCCGCGCCGUAUUAGCUAGUUGGUAAGGUAACGGCUUACCAAGGCAACGAUACGUAGCCGACCUGAGAGGCUGAUCGGCCACACUGGAACUUAGACACGGUCCAGACUCCUACGGGAGGCAGCAGUAGGGAAUCUUCCGCAAUGGGCGAAAGCCUGACGGAGCAACGCCGCGUGAGUGAUGAAGGGUUUCGGCUCGUAAAACUCUGUUAUUAGGGAAGAACAAAUGUGUAAGUAACUGUGCACGUCUUGACGGUACCUAAUCAGAAAGCCACGGCUAACUACGUG
rnacentral:rRNA from 1 species